GACGAACGCUGGCGGCGUGCUUAACACAUGCAAGUCGAACGGAAAGGCCCCUUUGGGGGUACUCGAGUGGCGAACGGGUGAGUAACACGUGAGUAACCUGCCCUUGACUUCGGGAUAACUUCAGGAAACUGGGGCUAAUACCGGAUAGGAAUCCUUGCUGCAUGGUGGGGGUUGGAAAGCUUCGGCGGUUUUGGAUGGACUCGCGGCUUAUCAGCUUGUUGGUGGGGUAGUUGCUUACCAAGGCUUUGACGGGGAGCCGGCCUGGGAGGGCGACCGGCCACAUUGGGACUGAGAUACGGCCCAGACUCCUACGGGAGGCAGCAGUGGGGAAUAUUGCACAAGGGGCGGAAGCCUGAUGCAGCAACGCCGCGUGCGGGAUGACGGCCUUCGGGUUGUAAACCGCUUUCAGCAGGGGCGAAGCUUGUGGUGACGGUACCUGCAGAAGAAGCACCGGCUAACUACGUG
rnacentral:rRNA from 1 species